GUGCCAGCCGCUGCGGUAAUACGAAGGGUGCAAGCGUUACUCGGAAUUACUGGGCGUAAAGCGUGCGUAGGUGGUUCGUUAAGUCUGAUGUGAAAGCCCUGGGCUCGACCUGGGAAUUGCAUUGGAUACUGGCGGGCUAGAGUACGGUAGAGGGUAGUGGAAUUCCUGGGUGUAGCAGUGAAAUGCGUAGAGAUCAGGAGGAACAUCCGUGGCGAAGGCGACUACCUGGACCAGUACUGGCACUGAGGCACGAAAGCGUGGGGAGCAAACAGGAUUAGAUACCCUGGUAGUCCACGCCCUAAACGAUGCGAACUGGAUGUUGGGUUCAACUAGGAACUCAGUAUCGAAGCUAACGCGUUAAGUUCGCCGCCUGGGGAGUACGGUCGCAAGACUGAAACUCAAAGGAAUUGACGGGGCCCGCACAAGCGGUGGAGUAUGUGGUUAAUUCGAUGCAACGCGCAGAACCUUACCUGGCCUUGACAUCCACGGAACUUUCCAGAGAUGGAUUGGUGCC
rnacentral:rRNA from 1 species